CCGUGGCUACGAGGACACGCUUGGCGGCGCGCUUAAUACAUGCAAGUCGAACGAGAAGCCAGAGCUUGCUCUGGUGGAAAGUGGCAACGGGUGAGUAACACGUGAGAAACCUGCCCCAAAGAUUGGGAUAAGCCUUGGAAACGAGGUCUAAUACCAAAUACCUUCCUUUUAACACAUGUUAAAAAGAAGAAAUGCUCCGGCGCUUUGGGAUGGUCUCGCGAUCUAUCAGCUUGUUGGUGAGGUAACGGCUCACCAAGGCAUCGACGGAUAGCUGGUCUGAGAGGAUGUCCAGCCACAUUGGAACUGAGACACGGUCCAAACUCCUACGGGAGGCAGCAGUAGGGAAUCUUGCACAAUGAGGGAAACCUUGAUGCAGCGACGCCGCGUGCGGGACGAAGGCCCUAGGGUUGUAAACCGCUUUCAGUAGGGACGAAAGUGACGGUACCUACAGAAGAAGCCCCGGCCAACUAUGUG
rnacentral:rRNA from 1 species